GGGGGAAGCGUAAUGGCUGUUCCUGGUCGAGAGGGUUUACGACGUGGUAACGAAGGUGGUCGUUCUUCAUAUGCGGAUUCCAAAGUAGCAGCAGUAGAUCUUCUUGGAGAAGGAUAAAUUUUAGAAGGUGCAGAAUACUUUUCAUCAUCAUCGUCUUCUUCCUCACCAUCAAAUUUGGAAGCGAUAUUCUCCACCCAUUCCAUACUUCUUUGCUUAAAUGAUUGGAAUCCACGCAUAAAUGUAUCUUUGAUGACUGGAAGAUCGUCUUCAAAAAACGAAUAAUCAUCUCCAUCGUUGUCAUUGGGCUUUGCUGUACGGUUUUGCGGAGGGUAAUUCCUACGAUCAUUGUUUGUUUUGCGCCUACGUUCUGGACGAUGGCUGUUGUAACGAUUAGCAAGCUCUCUGGCACAUCUCUCGUCUUCCUCAAGCUGUCGUUGCACUGGAUCGUCAUGUGCGGCUGUGUCAUAAGCAUAAGAAGUUUCAGCUUGUUCCAUUUCUUCAGCAACUUGAGGAUCACUCAAACCUAUUAUGGUUAGAAAUGAACGUUGACUAUUGCAUUCAUAAAACUUUUCAAGCACGAUAUUCUUUAGGGAGCAAACAAACGCGAACUAUGAGCCACACUUUAAGAUAUCAAAUGAAAUCAAUAAGGUAAAGCUUCAAAAACAAAGUGAAUAGCACAUUACAGAUCGUUCACAGUACAUCCCCAAAGACACGAAAUAUAUGUGUAGCCUAAUACUUACCAAGCAAUGCGUUGAAAGCAGGCUCUAACUUAUAUCCGCUAGCUGCUAGGACUGCUCGAAUAAUUGCAUCCUAUAGAUAAAUAUAUGUUAGAUAUGUAGCAAUGAAAGUAAACUUAGAGAGUUUUGGUAACAUGCAGACUAAUCUGAA